rnacentral:rRNA from 1 species
AACGCGAAGAACCUUACCGGGGCUUGACAUCCUGCGCUAUCCUAGGAGACUAGGUUUCCGGGCAACCGGACGCAGAGACAGGUGCUGCAUGGCUGUCGUCAGCUCGUGCCGUGAGGUGUUGGGUUAAGUCCCGCAACGAGCGCAACCCUUGCCGUGUGUUGGUCGCAAGAUCUCUCACGCGGGACCGCCGGUGACAAGCCGGAGGAAGGUGGGGAUGACGUCAAGUCAGCAUGGCCCUUACGUCCCGGGCUACACACGUGCUACAAUGGGAGGGACAACGAGUCGCGAACCCGCGAGGGCAAGCUAAUCUCACAAACCCUCUCUCAGUUCGGAUUGAAGGCUGCAACUCGCCUUCAUGAAGUCGGAAUCGCUAGUAAUGCUAUAUCAGAACGAUAGCGUGAAUACGUUCCCGGGCCUUGUACACACCGACUGUAC